rnacentral:rRNA from 1 species
AGAGUUUGAUCCUGGCUCAGAACGAACGCUGGCGGCGUGGAUAAGACAUGCAAGUCGAACGAGAGAAUUGCUAGCUUGCUAAUAAUUCUCUAGUGGCGCACGGGUGAGUAACACGUGAGUAACCUGCCCCCGAGAGCGGGAUAGCCCUGGGAAACUGGGAUUAAUACCGCAUAGUAUCGAAAGAUUAAAGCAGCAAUGCGCUUGGGGAUGGGCUCGCGGCCUAUUAGUUAGUUGGUGAGGUAACGGCUCACCAAGGCGAUGACGGGUAGCCGGUCUGAGAGGAUGUCCGGCCACACUGGAACUGAGACACGGUCCAGACACCUACGGGUGGCAGCAGUCGAGAAUCAUUCACAAUGGGGGAAACCCUGAUGGUGCGACGCCGCGUGGGGGAAUGAAGGUCUUCGGAUUGUAAACCCCUGUCAUGUGGGAGCAAAUUAAAAAGAUAGUACCACAAGAGGAAGAGACGGCUAACUCUGUGCCAGCAGCCGCGGUAAUACAGAGGUCUCAAGCGUUGUUCGGAAUCACUGGGCGUAAAGCGUGCGUAGGCUGUUUCGUAAGUCGUGUGUGAAAGGCGCGGGCUCAACCCGCGGACGGCACAUGAUACUGCGAGACUAGAGUAAUGGAGGGGGAACCGGAAUUCUCGGUGUAGCAGUGAAACGCGUAGAUAUCGAGAGGAACACUCGUGGCGAAGGCGGGUUCCUGGACAUUAACUGACGCUGAGGCACGAAGGCCAGGGGAGCGAAAGGGAUUAGAUACCCCUGUAGUCCUGGCAGUAAACGGUGCACGCUUGGUGUGCGGGGAAUCGACCCCCUGCGUGCCGGAGCUAACGCGUUAAGCGUGCCGCCUGGGGAGUACGGUCGCAAGAUUAAAACUCAAAGAAAUUGACGGGGACCCGCACAAGCGGUGGAGUAUGUGGCUUAAUUCGAUGCAACGCGAAGAACCUUACCUGGGCUUGACAUGUAAUGAACAACAUGUGAAAGCAUGCGACUCUUCGGAGGCGUUACACAGGUGCUGCAUGGCCGUCGUCAGCUCGUGUCGUGAGAUGUUUGGUUAAGUCCAGCAACGAGCGCAACCCCUGUUGCCAGUUACCAGCACGUGAAGGUGGGGACUCUGGCGAGACUGCCCAGAUCAACUGGGAGGAAGGUGGGGACGACGUCAGGUCAGUAUGGCCCUUAUGCCCAGGGCUGCACACGUACUACAAUGCCCAGUACAGAGGGGGCCGAAGCCGCGAGGCGGAGGAAAUCCUAAAAACUGGGCCCAGUUCGGACUGUAGGCUGCAACCCGCCUACACGAAGCCGGAAUCGCUAGUAAUGGCGCAUCAGCUACGGCGCCGUGAAUACGUUCCCGGGUCUUGUACACACCGCCCGUCACAUCAUGGAAGCCGGUCGCACCCGAAGUAUCUGAAGCCAACCGCAAGGAGGCAGGGUCCUAAGGUGAGACUGGUAACUGGGAUGAAGUCGUAACAAGGUA